rnacentral:rRNA from 1 species
CGAAAAGUACGUCUCAGUUCGGAUUGGAGUCUGCAACUCGACUCCAUGAAGCUGGAUUCGCUAGUAAUCGCGCAUCAGCCAUGGCGCGGUGAAUACGUUCCCGGGCCUUGUACACACCGCCCGUCAAGCCAUGGAAGCCGGGGGUGCCUGAAGUGCGUGACCGCAAGGAGCGCCCUAAGGUAAAACCGGUGACUGGGGCUAAGUCGUAACAAGGUAUC